UGCCUUCUUUUCGCCGAGAUUCUUGUAACAAAAAGAUGAAUGUUAUGUGUGCAGAAUUAUAACUGCACACACACUGUCCCAGUGACCCGUAAUGGGGCAUUUUUAAACUUUAAAUAUGUCAGUAGUUUCCAGGCUCUCUGGCAGAAUUACUGGUGCACGGGAAUGAAAGUAAAUCAAAAAAAAGCCUGAAAGACGCGGGUGCAGUAAAUUCUGGCGGUGGUCGGUUGCCUGAAAUGUGUUGUGAAUUACAGCCCAGGCCUCUGCAAAGGCUGGGUGAAAGGAUGCAACAACACCAGUGAAUUAGUUCACAGGAGCCGGGCAGCGACUGAAGACCAGAUUAAAUGACGUGUAUAACCCGAAAGCACGAGGUUGCAUUGGGACUUGAACCAAAGUGGAAAUUCUACAUGCAUCACAACAGUGAUGUUUUAAAUAAAAUGCCGAAUCCAGCCCUAAUGAACACAGAUUUCUUUCAGUCGUAGUUGUUUGAGGAUUUGAAUUGUUACGUGGUGAACUUUUAUAGCAUUGACACGAAAGUGUGAAGGUGAAACACUAUCUGCUAAUUUUCAGCCUUACAGAAUCGGCCGUGUCGGUGACAAAGGAGAGACGAUGAUGGGAUUUUAUAACAUGCCGCUUGACAAACCGAGUGUUUCCAGCAUCUGAAACCUUUUGUUCACCGUACACAUGAACAUAUACACGCUGAAGGGCACACGGAUACUGGGCUUACAAGGGUUGUGAGAAGCACCGAGAUGCAAACGCACAUUUCACCACAAUGUGAUUAUUCAUGAAGAUAAUAGUAAGAGAAGACCAGUAAUGACCUUUCUUGUGACAUUAAUAAUCCAUUUUCUACAAACAACGACUAUAAAUAUGCGGUUUAAACGAAAUUGUCAUUUUAAGAGGACCAAAUAAAAGUGGAGAAAAUACUUCUGUCUUUGUUAGCUGCUCGAUCCUUGUUCUGCUUGUUUUAAUGGAGUAACUUUCUCCGAGACAUUCCCAGUCUUUCUUUGAUAACAAUCACUGUGCGGAUCCAGUGUCAUAUAAGCCAUUCGAACAACCGCGUUUACGCACCACACACAUCCUGCAGCCGCACAACAAUUUUGUACUUGGACCACUCUCUUCGCCAUCAAAGCAGGAAAAGAACCCGCACGAUUUGCAUCUGAAUUGAGUUUAGAUGGAUGACACCAAUAAUCUCAGAAUCAAAGGGACCCCUCGUUCGGAGUGAACCCGACACCUGUUGCGGGGGACUACCAUGCAGAAGCUCUCAAUUUGAUAUUUUAUCAGGUUAUGAAAAGGAAAACGACACUUUAAGUGCAACACUACCAACCCAGUAUCAGAUUUUAUUCCGCCAGAUGUAUUGCAAGGGGUGAAAACAACACAUUUUGUCCUGUCAUGAAAGAACUUGCCUUUUCUUUUGGAACCUCUAACUGAACUGCACUUUCUUCUGUCAAAUAACAUUAUUUGCUUCAUUUGGGAGAUUAGCCGGAGAAAAAACCUAAAGUAUUUAACCCUUAGAUUUGGAAACUUUAUUUUGUGUUUUAAACGAUCGAUUUGAAUGCGUAUCUUCGAAAGGGAAAGCACAGCAAAUAUCUCAGUCCAAAUUUAAUAAACACCCAAUACUUCGAAAUCAAAGCGUGUAAAUUUUCGGGCUUAACAUCUUUGAAAGUGUAACACUUUUAGGCAUACGAAUGCAAAACACCAGCGUUUCAAAUAGUUAUCUCCACAUGUGAAAAGGUCAUAGUUUAAACUGCAGUUUCAUUCAGUAACGUCAGCGUUGUGAAAAGUCCCGUUAUUUGUAAACUCGUCUUAAUCCUGGUAUUAAACGUGACAGUCCACAUAACGUCCUAAUUGGUUUACAGCUCCAAGUUUUUUUUGUUUUUGAACUAAAAUACAUCUGCUUUUCUUUGUAACUAGGAAUGUAACCAUAAACAACGUACAACAUCAGACUCCUAAGAAAUA